GACGAACGCUGGCGGCGUGCUUAACACAUGCAAGUCGAACGGAAAGGCCCUGCUUUUGUGGGGUGCUCGAGUGGCGAACGGGUGAGUAACACGUGUGUAACCUGCCCUUGACUUUGGGAUAACUUCAGGAAACUGGGGCUAAUACCGGAUAGGAGCUCCUGCUGCAUGGUGGGGGUUGGAAAGAUUCGGCGGUUGGGGAUGGACUCGCGGCUUCUCCGCUGGUUGGGGGGGUAGUGGCUUACCAAGGCUUUGACGGAUAGCCGGCCUGAGAGGGUGACCGGCCACAUUGGGACUGAGAUACGGCCCAGACUGCUACGGGAGGCAGCAGUGGGGAAUAUUGCACAAUGGGCGGAAGCCUGAUGCAGCAACGCCGCGUGCGGGAUGACGGCCUUCGGGUUGUAAACCGCUUUCGCCUGUGACGAAGCGUGAGUGACGGUAAUGGGUAAAGAAGCAACGGCUAACUACGUG
rnacentral:rRNA from 1 species